rnacentral:rRNA from 1 species
UUAAGCGACUAAGCGUACACGGUGGAUGCCCUGGCAGUCAGAGGCGAUGAAGGACGUGCUAAUCUGCGAUAAGCGUCGGUAAGGUGAUAUGAACCGUUAUAACCGGCGAUUUCCGAAUGGGGAAACCCAGUGUGUUUCGACACACUAUCAUUAACUGAAUCCAUAGGUUAAUGAGGCGAACCGGGGGAACUGAAACAUCUAAGUACCCCGAGGAAAAGAAAUCAACCGAGAUUCCCCCAGUAGCGGCGAGCGAACGGGGAGCAGCCCAGAGCCUGAAUCAGUGUGUGUGUUAGUGGAAGCGUCUGGAAAGGCGCGCGAUACAGGGUGACAGCCCCGUACACAAAAAUGCACAUGCUGUGAGCUCGAUGAGUAGGGCGGGACACGUGGUAUCCUGUCUGAAUAUGGGGGGACCAUCCUCCAAGGCUAAAUACUCCUGACUGACCGAUAGUGAACCAGUACCGUGAGGGAAAGGCGAAAAGAACCCCGGCGAGGGGAGUGAAAAAGAACCUGAAACCGUGUACGUACAAGCAGUGGGAGCACGCUUAGGCGUGUGACUGCGUACCUUUUGUAUAAUGGGUCAGCGACUUAUAUUCUGUAGCAAGGGUUAACCGAAUAGGGGAGCCGAAGGGAAACCGAGUCUUAACUGGGCGUUAAGUUGCAGGGUAUAGACCCGAAACCCGGUGAUCUAGCCAUGGGCAGGUUGAAGGUUGGGUAACACUAACUGGAGGACCGAACCGACUAAUGUUGAAAAAUUAGCGGAUGACUUGUGGCUGGGGGUGAAAGGCCAAUCAAACCGGGAGAUAGCUGGUUCUCCCCGAAAGCUAUUUAGGUAGCGCCUCGUGAAUUCAUCUCCGGGGGUAGAGCACUGUUUCGGCAAGGGGGUCAUCCCGACUUACCAACCCGAUGCAAACUGCGAAUACCGGAGAAUGU